rnacentral:rRNA from 1 species
GACGAACGCUGGCGGCGUGCUUAACACAUGCAAGUCGAACGGAAAGGCCUGCUUUCCCUUGUGGAUUGCGGGUACUCGAGUGGCGAACGGGUGAGUAACACGUGAGUGAUCUGCCCCCAACUUGGGUAUAGGCCUGGGAAACUGGGUCUAAUUCCCGAUAGGACUGCAGGGUGGUGCCUGUGGUGGAAAACGAUUUUCUAGUGGUUGGGGAUGAGCUCGCGGCCUAUCAGCUUGUUGGUGGGGUAAUGGCCUACCAAGGCGGCGACGGGUAGCCGGCCUGAGAGGGUGGACGGCCACAUUGGGACUGAGAUACGGCCCAGACUCCUACGGGAGGCAGCAGUGGGGAAUAUUGCACAAUGGGCGGAAGCCUGAUGCAGCGACGCCGCGUGGGGGAUGACGGCCUUCGGGUUGUAAACUCCUUUCGACCGCGAGGAGGCCACCAGGUUGGGAGGGUGGUGACGGUAGUGGUAGAAGAAGCACCGGCUAACUACGUG